ensembl:lncRNA
AUUAAAGAUGCACUUUGCCUUGAGUAACAAGUAGUACUGGAUUAUAACUUGAAGUAUAGAAUUGAUGCUUUUGAACUGUGGUGUUGGAGAAGACUCUUGAGGGUCACUUGGACUGCAAGGAGAUCCAUCCAGUCCAUCCUAAAGGAAAUCAGUUUAGAAUAUUCAUUGGAAGAACUGAUGCUGAAGCUGAAACUCCAAUACUUCGGCCACCUAAUGCAAAGAACUGACUCAUUGGAAAAUUUCCCUGAUGCUGGGAAAGAUUGAAGGCGAGAGAAGGGGAAGACAGAGGAUGAGAUGGUUGGAUGGCAUCACCAACUCAAUGGACAUGAGUUUGAGUAAACUCUGGGAGUUGGUGAUGGACAGGGAGGCUUGGCAUGCUGUGGUCCAUGGGGUCGCAGAGUCAGAUGCAACUGAGCGACUGAACUGAAAGGUAGCAGCCAUAGUCAAACUGGGGUAAAUCAAUCACUUAUACAAAUAAAUGUAUAAGUGGGGAAGGAGUGAUGUCUUUGGUGCAGAAUUCUAAACAAUUUUUAUAGAUACUCCACCAUGAGGCCUCACUCCUCAUUCUAAAUGUGGCCUGUGCCGUGACUUCCUUCUGAAGAGUACCACGUGAAAAGUGGGGGGAGGAGAGUAACUUCUAUAGUGGAGAAACUAAACAAGCACUGCCUCAGUCAGGUGAUCAAGGUUAAUAUUAACAGUGAUUAAUCAUGUUGAUAGUAUGUGCACUAGCGAGGAUAUGACAAAAAUGGCCUUUCCUUCUAAAACUCAUAAUCCCAGUCUCAAUAAAAGGGAAGAAGUGGACAGCCCCCACAUGAGGGACAUUCUACAAAAUGUCUGACCAAUAUUCCUCAAAACUCUCAAGAUUUUCAAAGACAAAGUCUGAGAAACUGCCACAGCCAAGAGGAGCUUAUGGACACAUACCAAGUAAAUGUAAUAUUAUAUCCUGAUGUGACACUGGAUUAGAAAAAGGAUAUUUGAAUGUUUCUCCUAGUCACCAGAAGCAGUCAUCACCAUGAAGGACUUUAGGACUUCUCUGGAUAUAAGGAGAUACAAGAACUGGGCUCAUAAAGUCGACUGUGAAAUUAUUUAACCAUCUGAAGACUUGUUCUGCCAGUUUUUCCCAAAGCACAGAGUGCCUCUUUUCUGCCCUCCACCCUGAAUUCCUUUCAGGGAUUGUUGAAAGUCAGCAUGAUUUAAUCCUUGUAGAGGUAGAUGGCAAGUGGCAAUUUGUAGUUGACAGGAGCAUUGUGGGAGGUAGGCAUGAGACUACUAGAAAAAAGCCAGAAAUCCUACAACAGGGGUUACUUAUCUAAACUACUGUAUGUCUAUGGGAUGGAAUACCUUGCA